AUGGACGUCGCCGGAGAGGUCCGGCGACCGGGUAACGGGGGCGUUGUGGCGAUGAUGAGGAUCAAGCGCAGUGGCGCUGGUCGCCGGCAUCAGGCCGCGUGGCCCGCAGGCAAGCAGCGAGGGCGAGGAGAUGCAGGAGGCGGGGUUCCGGUGGCUUUGGUCACCAGCGAGGGCUGGAGCAACGGGAGGCCACAGGGCUUGCUGGGGCUCGCUGCUGGUGCCCCAACGAGCACAGGAGCAGGGCACCACAGGAGGAGGUCGGUCCUGGCCACGGGAUCGUCGCGAGGAAGAGAGCAGGAGGAUGGAGAGAUGGGGAUCGGGCGGAGCUAA
rnacentral:rRNA from 1 species